rnacentral:lncRNA from 1 species
UCAACUCAUACAUGCUUACGUACACACGUACAUAUACGUACACAUACAUACAUACGUACAAUGGACCUUUUUCCGCUAGAUCGGAGCAAUGUUUUGUAGAUCAAUUGGUAUUUCUUUUGUUACAUAUAAAAUAUUUCAGAAAAGUACGUGUUAUUAGGGACCAAAAUAAAAAUGGUUAUAUGAAUUUUACAUGGGAAAAGGGCAAAAGGAGAGACUUGAAAGGAAGCUCUUCUUCUAAGAAGCCAAUGAAUUAAGGAGUCUAUCAACAAUCUUGCUCUGAGCUUCCUCACCAUCUUUUUCUCCUCCUCAUCGUCAUCACUCAACAAGCCGAUGCAGAGUGAAAAGACAAAGAAUUAUCACAAUCUUUUUUAACUGAAUUCUUAAUUUAUUUCAUUAGCACCACCAUUUUUUCAACAAGAAAAUCCUUCUUCUCCGAAGUAGAAGGUAUGCAUGCAUGGUUGAACAGGAGGGUUUUAUGGUGGACUGUUGGAUAAAUUGGUGAUGAUAAGUGUAGAGAUCAAAGAUAAAUAAGAAAGACAAGUACUAAAAAAAAGAAGAGGAAGUCGAAUUUAAAUUCAUUUUUUUACCUCAAAAUGUGUAAAGAAAACGAUAGUGAUUUCUUUUUGUAUUUUGAGGGUAAUAAUAGCUCUUCAAUAGCUUUGUGAAUGAUAGUGAUAAAGAAGGAGAAGAAGAUGGUGAAGAAGCUCAGAGCAAAGUUGUUGAUAAAUCUCAAAAUUCUUUGUCUUCUUUGGAAGAAGCUCUUCCUUCCACGUCUCUCCUUUUGACCCUUUUCCCUUGGAAAAUUCAUUGAACUACCUUUUUAUUUCAGCCCCUAAUAACAUCGUCUCUCUUAUUCUGUAUUCAGAUCAGAAUAGCAUCCAUUGCUUUGAAAUGAACACAAAUGCUAAUAUAUAAA